CAUUCCGGGAGUUUAGAUCCUGACAGAUGGGACACGGAGAGUACACGGAGCAGUCUUUGUAUGACAGGGUUGUGUGAGAAAGGUAACGUAGGCAGGCCAAACUCUCCAGACAGUUCUACUAGUGCUGGUGCAUUGGUUUUGAAAGAGUGUGCAGUCCACAACUAUAUUUAUGUUGGUUAUGGUUGGAGGAAAAAAGAGAGUGGGGAAAAAUUGAGGAAGGAGAGGUGGGGCGUCUUCGGAUUGCCGCCAGCCCUGUGAAGCCAGUGUGCUCCCUGCCCAGCCCUGGUGCGGGUAUACUCGGGAGUAAGGGCCACCAAAGUCGGGCCAGAGGGGCUCUGUGGGCAGGGUGUGCGGCAGCGGUGCAGGAGG